ACAUGCCUACAACAUAUCGUUAAUGCACUGGAUCCCAUUAGAACUCCGUAGUUAAGCGUGGUCAGGCUAGAGUAGUACUGGGAUGGGUGAUCGCCCAAGAAGUCCUAGUGUUUUACAUGCC
rnacentral:rRNA from 1 species